rnacentral:misc_RNA from 1 species
UCCGGCUUGUCACCGGCAGUCUCCUUAGAGUGCCCUUGCGUAGCAACUAAGGACAAGGGUUGCGCUCGUUGCGGGACUUAACCCAACAUCUCACGACACGAGCUGACGACAGCCAUGCAGCACCUGUGUUCCACUUCUCUUGCGAGCACCCCCGAAUCUCUUCAGGGUCAUGGACAUGUCAAGGGUAGGUAAGGUUUUUCGCGUUGCAUCGAAUUAAUCCACAUCAUCCACCGCUUGUGCGGGUCCCCGUCAAUUCCUUUGAGUUUUAAUCUUGCGACCGUACUCCCCAGGCGGUCAACUUCACGCGUAAGCUUCGCCACAAGGGUCCGAAAACCCCAACAGCUAGUUGACAUCGUUUAGGGCGUGGACUAC